rnacentral:tRNA from 1 species
UCCCAGGUGGCUCAGUGGUAAAGAAUCUACCUGCCAAGCAGGAGAUGCAGGUUCAAUCCCUGAGUUGGGAA